rnacentral:rRNA from 1 species
CCUCCCAUUCUGGCCCACCCCAGCAACCCAGUACCAUAGCAGCCUGAUUGUGCUCAGGCCCGGAAGCUAAUCGGGUUGGGACUGGCUGGAACUUGGAUGGGGGAUCGGCUGAAGAUACCAGUGGAUGGGGGCU